CCGAUAUUACUUCUCACGACACCUUCAUCUCAUCUCGAGCCAUAGUCACAAUUUCUCUAUCAAUCUCAUACGAUUAUUUUGUAAUUUCGACUAAGUCCAAAUAAUCUUCACCUACGAUUCAGUAUCACAUUGUGUUUUGACAGGCCUAUAUUACAUUCAUUAAAGUCUAUUUUGUCACUAAUCUGCCAAAGGAGGAGAAUGUAGACGCAAGAGGUUGUCACCAAUCCGUUAAAGGGAGAGAUUUUAGAUGCAAGAUUUUGGCUAGGAUUAGCCACUGGAGUUUCAAGAGAAAAGCUAAUGUUUGAAGAUCAUCAGAGAUUCUGGCUGCUACUACGGUAGAUACAAAUGGGUCGUUUGUUUGGUGAAGUAAGAGAGUCAAUUGACAAAAGUUUUGUAAUUGAGAACUUACUUGUAAUUUGAUUUUCAAAUAAUAAAAUUGACUUUUCUGGAUU